rnacentral:rRNA from 1 species
UACGGGGGGGGCAAGCGUUGUUCGGAAUUACUGGGCGUAAAGGGCUCGUAGGCGGCCAACUAAGUCCGACGUGAAAUCCCCAGGCUUAACCUGGGAACUGCGUCGGAUACUGGUUGGCUUGAAUCCGGGAGAGGGAUGCGGAAUUCCAGGUGUAGCGGUGAAAUGCGUAGAUAUCUGGAGGAACACCGGUGGCGAAGGCGGCAUCCUGGACCGACACUGACACUGAGGAGCGAAAGCCAGGGGAGCAAACGGG